rnacentral:rRNA from 1 species
CCUACGGGGGGCAGCAGUGGGGAAUAUUGGACAAUGGGGGCAACCCUGAUCCAGCCAUGCCGCGUGUGUGAAGAAGGCCCUCGGGUUGUAAAGCACUUUCAGUGAGGAAGAACGCCUGGUGGUUAAUACCCAUCAGGAAAGACAUCACUCACAGAAGAAGCACCGGCUAACUCCGUGCCAGCAGCCGCGGUAAUACGGAGGGUGCGAGCGUUAAUCGGAAUUACUGGGCGUAAAGCGCGCGUAGGUGGCUUGAUAAGCCGGUUGUGAAAGCCCCGGGCUCAACCUGGGAACGGCAUCCGGAACUGUCAAGCUAGAGUGCAGGAGAGGAAGGUAGAAUUCCCGGUGUAGCGGUGAAAUGCGUAGAGAUCGGAAGGAAUACCAGUGGCGAAGGCGGCCUUCUGGACUGACACUGACACUGAGGUGCGAAAGCGUGGGUAGCAAACAGGAUUAGAUACCCUAGUAGUC